rnacentral:rRNA from 1 species
AACGAACGCUGGCGGCGUGCCUAACACAUGCAAGUCGAGCGCGAAAGUCCUUCGGGAUGAGUAGAGCGGCGCACGGGUGAGUAACACGUGGGUAAUCUGCCCUUAGGCCUGGGAUAACUCGGGGAAACUCGAGCUAAUACCGGAUAAGACCACAGCACGAGAGUGCCGUGGGAAAAGGAGGGGAUCUCUUCGGAGACCUUUCACCAAAGGAUGAGCCCGCGUCCCAUCAGCUAGUUGGCGGGGUAACGGCCCACCAAGGCUAAGACGGGUAGCUGGUCUGAGAGGAUGACCAGCCACACUGGAACUGAGACACGGUCCAGACUCCUACGGGAGGCAGCAGUGGGGAAUCUUGCGCAAUGGGGGAAACCCUGACGCAGCAACGCCGUGUGAGUGAUGAAGGCCUUCGGGUCGUAAAGCUCUAUCGGCAGGAACGAUGGACGGCUGUUUUAAUAAAGCAGUCGUUUGACGGUACCUGCAAAGGAAGCACCGGCUAACUCUGUGCCAGCCGCCGCAGUAACAC